GGGGUUAUAGCUCAGUGGUAGAGCGCUCACCUAACAUGUGGGAGGCACUGGGCUCAAUCCUCAACACCA
rnacentral:tRNA from 1 species